rnacentral:rRNA from 1 species
CAGAGGGUGCAAGCGUUAAUCGGAAUUACUGGGCGUAAAGCGUGCGUAGACGGUUAUGUAAGUCAGGUGUGAAAGCCCCGGGCUCAACCUGGGAAUUGCAUUUGAGACUGCAUAGCUAGGGUGCGGAAGAGGGAAGCGGAAUUUCCGGUGUAGCGGUGAAAUGCGUAGAUAUCGGAAGGAACACCAGUGGCGAAAGCGGCUUCCUGGUCCAGCACCGACGUUCAGGCACGAAAGCGUGGGGAGCAAACAGGAUUAGAUACCCUGGUAGUCCACGCCAUAAACGAUGAGAACUAGACGUUGAGAGGGUAAGCCUCCCAGUGUCGAAGCUAACGCGAUAAGUUCUCCGCCUGGGGAGUACGGCCGCAAGGUUG